GAGAUGUGGAGGGAAAAGAAAGAAAAAGAACAAGAUGCUACUUCCCAUUGCUGCAAAAUGGGACUGAAUGGCUUGUGGUUCCUCUUCAUGUUUAGGUGACUGCUCUUUGUCUCGAAUCUCUUCUCCUUUCUGCCUACAUUAUGUCUUCACUAAUAUUAUUUUGGCCUCUCUCUUUCAUUUAGAAUCUCUCCUGCUGCUUGACAUUUUUGAUAAUAUAAGAUAAGAGAAAAUUUUGGGACUCACUUGUACAAAUUUACCAAAUUUGUUUAUCUAGACACUAGUUGUAAUAAUUUUUGUGAGCCUAUUUAUUCAGAGUUGGUUUCGGUUAAGCAGCUUUCGAAGAUCUUGAUCUUGGCUUCAAUUUGGUAGAAAGGAAUCAUGAGCAAUGAGUUGGACAGUCUUAGGAACUUGAAACUCUUAGACUUCCAUCUCUAUAAUGAUUUAUAUAGAGAGAUUCACGACGAGAUCGGGAACAUCUCACUAAAUUGCAGAGGCUGUAAACUUGCAUGAAAAAAGUAUGUGGUGUAAUUCCAAAUUGGAUGGUGCAUUUUGACUAAAUUGAAAAUUCUGAAUCUGCCAGAUUGUAUAUUAUGCAAGCAGAUAUUCAUGGAUAUAUUCCUUCAUGGUUGUUUAAUAUGAAGAAUCUGAGUUGUUUGUAUGUUUGGAAAAGUAGACAGCUCUAAAAAAAGCAUGUUUUCAUACCCCAUCUUUGAGAUCUUACAAUGCUCUUGGUCAUAUUCCAACUAGGUUCAAACCUUAGUAGUCUUGAGUUCAAUGAACUUAGCUCAGAUUUCCAGGAAGCCUUUUUCCUCAGUGGCUUACAGGACUAUAUCUAGAGGUUAUGAGUUUACAUCAUAAUAAUAUGCUUUUAAGCACUUUUCCUUAUGGAUUGUUUCAAUCUCACAUGUUAAAAUACCUUGAUUUGUCAAAUAACACUUUCUUUGGACACUUGCCUAAUAGCAUCAAUGAAGUUGCUCGAAUUAAGACGAAUCAUUCAGUCAGUUCGAAUAGAUUCAGUCGAUUUGGUUAACAACAUUUACUUUUCUAUCUUCUUUACAUGUACAUGUGUGUGUAUAUAUAUGUUAACUCGGAUUUUAGAGAAAAUAUACAAUAAAAAUAAUUUUUUUCUAUUUUAUUGAUAUUACUUAGUAAUAUCGAUUCACUGAGUUCUUUCUUCCGUGAUUAACUGCUAGCAUCUGUAACA
rnacentral:lncRNA from 1 species